rnacentral:lncRNA from 1 species
AAUCAUGAAGUCUACAGACAUAAUGAACAUAUCAUCAACACAUGCAAAUACACAGAUCGGUAGAUAAUAAUUUGUCCAGAAACAUAAUGAUUAAGGCCACAUUAGUCCACAAAUCAUGUCAUCCACGACUCAAGACACAAGAGGACACACAUGACUCAAGACACAAGAGGACACACAUGACUCAAGACACAAGACUAGCUGACACAGAUCAUUCUGCCUUCAUAUCUCGCCAUCUGCUGCAUACAUGUUCUUUGCCCUGCACCAUCUCUUCAACCAUAUCAACCUAGCUUCAGGGGUCUUCAUGUUCUGGAAGACAGUUCUGUUGUGUUUCUCCUUGAAUAAAUCACAAGCAACAAAGUACUCAACUGACUCUUCUGAUGCUCCACACUCAAUGGCAAGGUUCUGACAGUUUUUUACUGACUGAGCACGUUCCUCACUUCUCCUAACCUUUUCAUUGCCUUGGUUCACAAGAGCCUGCAAAAUAGAGUCUGUUUUCUCACUUUCCUUCUCCAACUUAGUUUCAAUGUCCUUCAUAUAUUUUACAAAUGGACCCCGAGUUUUGCCUUGAGUACGAGGCAUGUUGUCUAAAGUUUUGCUUCUCUUUGAAGGACUACUAGCUAUACUCCUUAACUCUGAGCGGCUCCCUCUCUUUUGAGUGUUGGUACUCAUAGGGCUCGACACAAAGCCUUCAUUGCCAUCCAGGUCAUCAUCAUUAUUUAACUCCAAACAAUCUUCUGUCCCAGGAACAUAAGCAGAUGAACCAUCCACAGCGACCUCAUGAAAUAUCUCAUGUAACAGGGGC